rnacentral:rRNA from 1 species
UACGGAAGGGGCGAGCGUUGUUCGGAAUUAUUGGGCGUAAAGGGCGCGUAGGUGGUUUUGUAUGUCUGCCGUGAAAGGGUACAGCUUAACUGUAGCUUGUCAGUGGAAACUGCAGGACUUGAGGCUGGGAGGGGCUGGUGGAAUUCCCUGUGUAGCGGUGAAAUGCGUAGAGAUGGGGGAGAACACUCGUGGCGAAGGCGGCCAGCUAGACCAGUUCUGACACUGAGGCGCGACAGCGUGGGGAGCAAACAGG